rnacentral:tRNA from 1 species
GGAUUGUGGCUCAGUGGUAGAGCGCUACCCUAGCACAUGUGAAGCCCUGGGUUCAAUCCUCAGCACCA